rnacentral:rRNA from 1 species
GCUGAGGCCCCACGGAUGGGGACCGGGGCCUAUCAGGUAGUAGUGUGGGGUAACGGCCCACCUACGCCUACGACGGGUACGGGCCCUGAGAGGGGGAGCCCGGAGAUGGGCACUGAGACAAGGGUCUAGGCCCUAAGGGGCGCAGCAGGCGCGAAGAUUCCGCAAUGCCCGAAAGGGCGACGGAGUGAACCCGAGUGCCACCCGCUGAGGGUGGCUGUUCCCCUGUGUAAAAAGCAGGGGGCAGGAAGGGGAGGGCAAGGCUGGUGGCAGCCGCCGCGGUAAAACCAGCUCCCCGAGGGGUUCCCACGCAUACUGGGCCUAAAGCGUCCGUAGCCGGCCCUGUAAGUCUGCAGUUAAAUCCGCCUGUAGACAGGCGGGUUGCUGCAGAUACUGCAGGGCUAGGGAGCGGGAGGAGCCGGGGGUAUUCCCGGGGGAGCGGUAAAAUGCGUAGAUCCCGGGAGGACCACCAGUGGCGAAGGCGCCCGGCUUGAACGCGUCCGACGGUGAGGGACGAAAGCUGGGGGAGCAAACCGGAUUAGAUACCCGGGUAGUCCCAGCCGUAAACGAUGCCGGCUAGGUGCUGGCCAAGGUUUCGGCCUUGGCCAGUGUCGAAGCGAAGGCAUUAAGCCGGCCGCCUGAGGAGUACGGCCGCAAGGCUGAAACUUGAAGGAAUUGACGGGGGGGCACCACAAGGGGUGAAUGCCUGCGGCUUAAUUGGACUCAACGCCGGGAAUCUUACCGGGGGCGACAGCAGGAUGAAGGUCAGGCUGAAGACCUUACCAGACGCGCUGAGGGGUGGUGCAUGGCCGUCGCCAGCUCGUGCCGUGAGGUGUCCUGUUAAGUCAGGCAACGAGCGAGACCCCCGCCCCUAGUUGCCAGCGGCCUCCUUCGGGAGGGACCGGGCAAACUAGGGGGACCGCCUCCGAAGAGGAGGAGGAAGGUGGGGGCUACGGCAGGUCAGUAUGCCCCUAAUUCCCCC